rnacentral:rRNA from 1 species
AAUAUUGGACAAUGGGGGGAACCCUGAUCCAGCUAUGCCGCGUGUGUGAAGAAGGUCUUCGGAUUGUAAAGCACUUUAAGGUGGGAGGAAGAGUUGUAGGCUAAUACCUGGCAAUUUUGACGUUACCAACAGAAUAAGCACCGGCUAACUUCGUGCCAGCAGCCGCGGUAAUACGAAGGGUGUAAGUGUUAAUCGGAAUUACUGGGCGUAAAGCGCGCGUAGGUGGUUCGUUAAGUUAGAAGUAAAAGCCCCGGGCUUAACCUGGGAAUUGCUUUCAAAACUGACGAGCUAGAGUACGGUAGAGGGUAGUGGAAUUUCCUGUGUAGCGGUGAAAUGCGUAGAUAUAGGAAGGAACACCAGUGGCGAAGGCGACCACCUGGGCUAAUACUGACACUGAGGUGCGAAAGCGUGGGGAGCAAACAGG